GUCUUCUCAAUGAGCUCCUUCCUGCCAACAAAUCCAUGGCAGCCUAUGGAUUCGCACGAGAAGAAUAUUAACUGUUCAGUAUUGGCAAAUUCACACUGUGGCUCCAUCGACUGUGAUUAGCCGCUGCUGUUCAACAAGU